UACGGAGGGUGCGAGCGUUGUCCGGAAUCACUGGGCGUAAAGGGCGCGUAGGCGGCUCAUGAAGGCUGUGGUGAAAGUCCGGGGCUCAACCUCGGAUCGGCCGUGGCGACUCGUGGGCUGGAGCACUGUAGAGGCGGGUGGAAUUCCGGGUGUAGCGGUGGAAUGCGUAGAGAUCCGGAAGAACACCAGUGGCGAAGGCGGCCUGCUGGGCAGUGGCUGACGCUGAGGCGCGACAGCGUGGGGAGCAAACAGG
rnacentral:rRNA from 1 species